CCUCCACUGCACUCCCUGGCCACAGCAGAGAGCUGGCCUGGAAGAGGGGCAACCGGGACAGAAUCCGGCGCCCCGACCGGGACUAGAACCCGGUGUGCCGGCGCCGCUAGGUGGAGGAUUAGCCUAGUGAGCCGCGGCGCCGGCCAAAAUAUGACAUUUUUAAAAAGUAUUUUUAUUGUAAAAUUAUUUUCCAAGAGUUAUGUUGAUUAUGUGGAUUGUUUGUGUGGAAUUCCAUAUUUCUGCCUUGUCUUUUAGCAUCAAGUGUGCCGGCUUGUUUUCCCUCUGCUGUUCUAGACUACAAGCGACUCAGUGCUUGCACUGGGUCCUGGCAGGUGUCUGCUCAACCUGUCAGUGUUCUCUGAUAACGGCACUACUGGAGACCAGGUUUAUCCUUUGUAAAUCAACUGCACCCCUACUUUUCUUUUCUUUUUUGAGUGGACAGUGAGAGAGAGAGACAGAGAGAGAAAGGUCUUCCUUUGCCGCUGGUUCACCCUCCAAUGGCCGCCGCUGCAGCCGGCGCACCGCGCUGAUCCUGGCAGGAGCCAGGAGCCAGGUGCUUUUCCUGGUCUCCCAUGGGGUGCAGGGCCCAAGCACCUGGGCCAUCCUCCACUGCACUCCCUGGCCAUAGCAGAGAGCUGGCCUGGAAGAGGGGCAACCGGGACAGAAUCCGGCGCCCCAACCGGGACUAGAACCCGGUGUGCCGGCGCCGCAAGGUGGAGGAUUAGCCUAUUGAGCCACGGCGCCGGCUUGCACCCCUACUUUUCUAAUCAGUUAGUAACUAAUAGCCUUCAGAGGACAUCUAAACUUUUUUUUUUUUAAUCUCCCUGCAUUCACCACAUUUUGUGGAAUAACAAAAGUUCUAUGGCCAUGUAACAGAAAUUUAAACUAAACUAAUGGCUUGUAAUCCAGACUGCUAUCAACUGGAAAUACUUACAAAUAAACAUUUUGUGCUUCUCCAUUAUGCAUUUACUUCACUAAAAUGUUUACCUUUAAAUUUCUAAACAGGAUAACAUACUUUAUUUAGUAUAAUCCAGUGUUAAUAAUUUAUUGUAUGCUAAUUCUUCAUAUGACAAUAAUCCAUAAUAUAUGGCUAUAUAAUAUUUUAUAUAUAAUCCAUAAUUUAUACAGACAGAUGUAAUCUUUAUGCUCUACUUUGAUAUAACCAAUAACCAAACUCUGUCCUGUUCCCUAUUUUCCUUUCUUUUUCAAAUUUCAAGUGUUGCCUUUAUUUUUUAAGAUGUGAUUCAAAUAGAUCUAGCAUAUGACCCACUCCUGGGAAUGUAUCCAAAGGAAAUAAAGUAAGCAUAUAAAAGAGAUGUCUGUACUCCCAUGUUUAUAGCAACUUAACUCACAAUAGCAAAGAUAAGGAAUCAGCCUAGAUGUCCAUUAGCUGAUGACUGGAUAAAGAAAGCGUGUAAAAUAUUGCCAUGGAAUACUACCUAGCCAUAUGAAACAGCUAAAUCCUGACUUUUGCAGCACAGUGGAUGGGACUGGAGAUGGUUAGGCUAAGUGAACUAAGCCAGACCCAGAAAGACACAUUCCUCUCUUUUUCUCUAAGAGUUAACAGCGGUGUGGCUGUCAUGUCACUGAGUCAUCCCAUGCACAUGACAAAAUACCCUUCUUUCCCCAAGUUGCCAUUAUCGUGACUCCCUCCCUGUGUGAUAUUAAUACCUGUUUUCCAGGAAAAAAAAUAGUGUCUCUGUAUAUGUGCAUAAUGUAGUAAAUGUGGCAAAAUGCUAAAAAUUGUUAAGUUUGAAAGCUAAAAAAUAAAACUUAAAAAACUAAAUUAAAAAAGACUUGAUUCAGUCAGUUUUAACUUUACCCAUCAAUAUGGGGAAACCUCAAAAACGUUAACGGAAAAUGGAGUUAAAAGUAUGUGUUUACUUGGUUCAAAGAAAUUUUCAUUUGAGAGGCAAAGAGAGCUUCCAAAAUGCUGGUGCUCUUGCUAGAAGCUGACAAUGGCCACGGCCAGAGCGGGGAGGUGGGAACUCAGUCCAAGUGCCAGGGACUCCCCACUUGAGUCACAGUGCUGCACCUGGGACUGUGCAUCAGCAGGUGGCUGGAGUCAGGACCCAAGUGGGGGAUUGAACCCAGGCCGUGGUAUGCAGGCAUGCCAACCAUGUCUUACCCACGCUAAGCCAAAGGCCUGCCCAGGCUAAACAGUUUUUUAAAGCAUUGUAUAAUUUUUUCAUGUAAUAGAAAAACUGUGCACCAAAAUAAACUCAUAUUUUUAGUUCUAUUUCUCCAGACUUUUUGGUAUGUUCAUAGUCAUUGUGAUUUUAUGACUCAUUAUGAUUUUUAAGUGGUGAACCAUGUUGUUUAUCUAAAUGAAGUUUAAACCUUAGUUUAAUCCUUAAAACUUUGACUUUUUUACAAUUCUAUUUUAGUAGUCAUAGAAACCAAAUAUUUGGGGUUUCCAUUGGCCAUUUAAAAGGCUAAGGGACUUGUGUUUCUCUUACCAAUUGCUGUGUAACAAACAGCCCCCAAGUUUAGUGGCUGUUCUCUCUCAUCUCAAGGGUUUUAUUAAGUGAAUUUUCUGCUGUGUGGUCUUGGUUGAUGUGCUAAGAAGGCGAGGCAGUCCGAAAUUGUCUCCUGUAUGUGACUGAGAGUGGGUGCAGGGGCAGGGUGCCGGCUGGAAGGCGGCUGGGGCUAGCCCAGGGCCACAGUGCUCCUUAAGCGUGCUCUCGAACUUACCUGGGCCUCCUGGUAGCAUGGUAGCUGGAUUCUAAGAAGGAAUGUUUCAAAUGGCAGAGGUAGAUUGUAUAGCCCUACUAAGGCCCUGAUUUUGGAGUCACCUGGAAUCACUUCUGUCCAUUUUAUUAGUCAAAAUGGUUAUAAGGCCGGGCUGGAUCAGGUGGAAGGGACAUAGGCUUCAUUUCUCUGUGGGGGAUUAGCAGGAUCACGCUGUAAAAGAGCAAGUGUCAGCUGGCGCUGUGGCGUAGCAGGUAAAGCUGCCGCCUGCAGUGCCGGCAUCCCAUGUGGGCACCAGUUCAAGUCCCGGCUGCUCCACUUGUGAUCCAGCUCUCUGCUAUGGCCUGGGAAAGCAGUAGAAGAUGGCCCAAGUCCUUGGGCCCCUGCACCCACGUGGGAGACCCGGAGGAAGCUCCUGUCUCGUGGCUUCAGGUCGGCACAGCUCCGGCAGUUGCAGCCAUCUGGGGAGUGAACCAGCGGAUGGAAGACCUCUCUCUCUGUCUCUGCCUCUCCUGCUCUCUCUCUGUAACUCUGUCUUUUAAAUAAAUGAUAUAAAUCUUAAAAGAAAAAAAAAGAAAGUUAAAGGGAAGCGGGGGGGCAGGAAAGGGAGAUGUUUUUACUUCCUUUAAAAGAAAUUAGUGACAUUGUAAUAUCGUCCCAUUUUCUCAUUUUCAAGCAUAAACUCUAUAAGAAUUUUGGGGAUAAGCUUUGAAGUUUUAUGUGAAGCACCUUUUUUCCCUUUUGUAACACACAGUAAAAGCCUUUAGAAUGACUUAUUUGUAUAAUAGUUGAUUUACAGAGUAUGUUCAUGCAUAUUAUCAUAUUUUCUUGAUUCUAAGAGAUCAUCAGUUAUAAAGACUUAUCCUUUGAUUUAAUAAGAACUUUUUGGAACAAAUUGUUUUCUUGGGAGAGGAGGAACAUUUGAUCUAAGGAUUAUUCUGAAUUUUUUUGCUGUAGGCAUUGUGGCCACAUGCUAUUUUUGACCUCUGGAUUUUCAGAUUGAUAGUAUAAUUCUGAGGCACAUCUAGGAAUUACUUUGGCUAGGUUUCUAUUUCCUAUUUAGUUAUUUGUUUUUUUCCCCUAGUUACAUUACAUAUGAAUAGAAGUUAAGUAACUUCUGUUGAAAGUCAUCCAGAAGACUUUAAUAGACAGAUUUGGUACCUGCUUCGAAUUUUCACUUGAGGGACCAGAGUUGUGGCAUAGUGUGUUAAGCUACCACCUCUGAUGCUGCAGCCCAUAUGGGCCUCAGUUCAUGUCCUGACUGCUCCACUUCCGAUCCAGCUCCCUGCUAAUGCAGGUGGGAAAGGCAGCGGAGGAUGGUCCAAGUGCAUGGGUCCAUGCCACCUUUGUGGGAGACCUGGGUAAAGCUCCUGACUGCUGACUUCAGCCUGGCCCACUUUGGCUAUUGUGGCCAUUUAAGGAGAAAACAGGCGGAUGGAAGAUCACUGUCUCUCCCCUUCUCUCUCUAACUCUGCCUUUCAAAUAAAUAAAUGAUAAGUGAAUCUUUUUUUAAAAGGUUAGGAAACUAAAAAAAUUCUAGAAUUUUUUUCUGCUUGAGAAAACUUCAGUUACCACAAAUCAGCCACAUGUCACUGGCAGUUCUGCAUACAUUGUAACUUUGUUUCAAUGGUACAUUAUAAUUAUUUUUGUAAAGAUGUUUUAUUAGGUAAUUAGGGGAUUUAAAAUUAAUUUAAAAUUCAACCAUAUAUGGUUCUGUUGAUGCAGAUAACUGAAGUGAUAGAUAAAAGACAUAUUUUAGUCGUGUUGAUCUUCAUACAUAGAUACAAGCAUACACAUAUAUAUAAUAAUACAAGGUAUUAUUGAUUGUAUAAUAUCAGGAUUCUCUACUAUCUACUAUAAAACUCCUCUUGACUUGAAAAAUGUUAUAGUGAAAACUAUGUGCAUUUUGAGCUAAGAAAUUACAUUCUUUUUUUUUCUAUAUCUCCAAUAGUUGCAUCAGAAGACAGAGCAAGUGUUAAAUAGCAUUUUUUGAAGGUAAAAAAUCUUGAUUGUUGGAGACUUAAGACCACAAAAUAUGUGGUAGAGCUGGAGUUACUCCCAAGUCUCCCAAAACUUAGAGAUACUUGAUGCUGUCAACUGUAUUGUGCUACCUUUUCAGCAAUAAUUCACUUAGUUAUGGUUUGAGUUCAAUUUAUUACGACCCAUUCAUUCAACAGGUGUUUACCAAGUGCUAUUGCAUGUCAAGCGUUGUGUUAAGUGAUAGUGGAAGACAGUAGACAGUUAGACAAACCAACAACUUUGAUAAGGACUGAGACCUGGCAAAUAAUUACAAGUGGUUCUCUGGGAGUGCUGGUGGUGACAUCAGGGAAGGACAGCUAACUUCUAGGCUUAGAUGAGAAAGAAGCAUCAUGAGUUAGCCAGACCUGAGGACUGGGAGAAGAGUUAGGUGGAACAAUGUAGGCCACGGAUUUCUGCAACGGUAAGAGGAAGAACUCGAAGGAUGGCAGUGUGACUGAGCAGUGAGAGGGAGACAUAGAGGUGGAGCAGAAAGCAGGGAGCAGGUAUGUAUUCUUGUUGAGGAUUUUGGCCUUUAUCCUAAGGGAUCUAGGGAAGCCAGGGAAAGGUUUUAAGUAGGGGUGUGCCAUGAUUAAAGUUUCAUCUGAAAACCAUACAUCAGACUUCAGUAAAUCUAGAAGCAAUGUUGUUAGAAGCUAUUUCAGGUUAUCACAGCAGUGGAGUAGGAGAGAAGUGAAUAGGUUUGAAAUUUGGGAUGUAGACAAAGCUUGGUAUUUGACCAAAAUUUAAAGCUAGUAUUGUUACUGUGUCAUCUAUUGAAUUUCCCUGUAAGAUCAUCUCUAAAAUCUUUCAGUAACUUAUACUUAAUGUUAGGAAUUGAAUACAUUGUACAGUACAGUUUAGAAAGCAUUGUUCCUUAAAAAAUAAUUUUUGAAUUGAGCUAAUCCCUGUUGUUUCUAACUCUAUAAUUAGCAUAAGAAGAAUUUAAAAGGGAUUUUGGCACUUAAUUUAUAUGUUAAAGCCCUUAAGUAAUUUGUACAUACAUGAUGUAUGCGCAUUGAGUUCAUAUCAUUUAUUAAUGAAUAUCACAUUUGAAAAUCAAUUAGUAUUCUAUUCUUGGUUAAUUGAUCAGAACUUAGAUAAGGAUUUGGAACCAUUUUCUUUGAAUCAUUGGGUCUAGAAAUAAACUUCUAGUUAAAUUUAAAUAUUUAGGAGGAAAACAUUUUGUGAACAUACUUCCCUCAAUUCCUUAUAAACUGCUAUGCCUUCUUAGUCAGUAGUAUUUCUUGUGUGUAGGUUGGUCUUGGCUAUUACUCACGGCUGUUAAUAGUCUAUUGUAUCAGAGACAGCAUAAUCAAACACCUGUAAGGGCCUUGACUCUGAAGAGUUAGUUCACUUAAGGGAGAUUCAAGCGCUGGGUCCCAGACGAUUUGUACUUGUUGAAGUGGGGAGCAGCACAGCUAAUACUCUAGCGCACCUGAUUUUGUCAUGUGAUUUGUUUAAGCCAGUUGUUGCCAGAUUUUUCAGUUUCUUCAGGACGAUGCUGAAAUACAGAUUUUUAUGUGAAUUAGUUUGCAACUAAUGCACAUAUUUUUCACACCCUCUGUGACUGUCCCUGUCUCUGUGGGGGUACAUUUGGCUUACAGGUCUCCAGUUUGCUGUUUUGUCUUACAGAACCUUGAAAGGGUACACUGUGAAGUUAGGGGUCAAAAUUACUUGUAGGUAAAGUAAAUGUUGAAAGGAGGAAGGGAUGAAGAGGAGAAAAUAAGAUUGUUUUAUAGGUACAAGGCAAGCCGUCCAUAUUUUUAGCUUUAGUUCAAAGAAAAACUCGUAUCUUCACCAUUUUAAAGCUACUUCAGAGCAUCCUUCUAGUAUCGUCAACCAUAUGAAUAUGCAUAGCUUGGAACUCAACGUGGGAUGACAGUGUGCAGGGUGUAGGGGACCAAAGGACUGUUAGAGUCUAGAGGUUCUCAGAGAGUGGUGAAUCAAGUAUUGCGGGAACAAGAGACAGUUGAGAUCAGAGCAAGAUCGACUUGAAGAGCAUAGCAAUCUGCAUACAUCACAGGCCCAUGAAAGCAUUACUGUGCUAAAAACAUAAUUCGACAUGGUUCUUAAAAAUUUAUUUAUGUAUUUAUCAGGCAGAGUGACAGACGAAAGGAGAGAAAGAGAGAGAUCUUCCACUGACAUUGUCUAAAUGGCCACAACAACCAGGGCUCCCUCCUCCAGAUCAAAGCCAGGAGCCAGGAACUCCAUCCAGCUCUCCUAAGUGGGUGGAAGGGGCCCAAGCACUCUGGCAUACUCUGCUUCUCUCCCAGGCAGGUCAGUAGGCUAUUGGAUUGGAAGCAGAGCAAUCAGGAGUGGAACCAACACCUUAACAUGGAUUCCAGUGUCGCAAGCUGCUGGUUAACCGGCCACGCUACAACACCACCUCCUGAUUUGACAUUUAUACUGAUAAUCAAGACAAGGUAGGGGCCAGCGCUGUGGCACAGUAGCUUAAUCUUCCGCCUCUCUGGUGCCAGCAUCCCCUUUGAGCGCUGAUUCAACUCUCAGCUACUCCACUUACAAUCCAGCUCUCUGCUAUGGCCUGGGAAAGCAGUAGAAGAUGGCCCAAGUCCUUGGACCCCAGCACCUGCAUAGGAGACCUGGAAGAAGUUCCUGGGUCCUGGCUUCAGAUCUGCGCAGCUCCUGAUGUUGUGGCCAUUUAGGGAGUAAACCAGCAGAUGGAAGACCUCUCACUCUCUCACUCUCACUGUCUGUAAUUCUACCUCUCAAAUAAAUAAAAUCUUUUUUUAAAAAAGAGGUGAAUUGUUUGAUGUAAUAACGUGUUCUAAAUAUACCCUUCCCUCUGACAAAUAUAAUAUAAAAUCAUUAUACAAAAGUUGCAAAAUAUGGUAAUAGACAUAUAAAAAUAGUAUGUAGCAUUUUUAAAAGCCACAAAUGAGGUAAAAUAUAUUUUAUAAUGUUCUAAAAGUCAUUAAAUAGAACUUGGCAAGUCUUAGUUUCCUAAUAGCUAACUAGUUUUAAAAUUAAACUAAUUAUGGCUUGAGUAAAAAGAAUGUUGGUUGACUCACUAAGAAGGUAUCAGAAGAGACAUACAUUAGGGUUAGUUAUGCCAGUGGCUCAGUGAUUUUUCUCAAGGACUCAGUUUGUCUUUCCAUCCUGCUCUUUCUACCUCCUGCUGCCUUGCUCCCAAUACUGCUGUUAAAGAAUGGCUGCUGAAGGGCCGGCGCCAUGGCACAGUAGGUUAAUCUUCCACCUGCAGUGCCAGCAUCCCAUAGGAUGCUGGUUGGAGUCCCAGCUGCUCCUGUUCCCAUCCAGCUCUCUGCUAUGGCCUGGGAAAGCAGUGGAAGAUGGCUCAAGUCCUUGGGCCCCUGCACCAGCGUGGGAGACCAGGAAGAAGCUCCUGUCUCCUGUCUCCUGGCUUCGGAUUGGCCCAGCUCCAGCUGCCACGGCCAUGUGGGGAGUGAACCAACAGAAGGAAGACCUUUCUCUCUGUCUCUCCCUCUCACUGUCUGUAACUCUUCCUCUCAAGUCAAUAAAUAAAACUUAAAAAAAGAAUGGCUGCUGGUUGCAAUGAAGAUUGUGUUUUCCUCCUUCAGAUCUAAAGGGAGAAUUAACUUCUCUUGGUUUCUCAGAGUAAUAUACCUUAUUUUCCUUAAGAGGUUUCUGUCCACUCUUUCUCCUAACUUGCUUCCCAUUGGCCUACUAUUGUUUAAUUCUAACUAUACUUUAAAUAAUGAUAGAUAAGGGGGUUGGGCUUACCAUAAUGGAUUACACCGAGCUGCCUUGACCAGGGAGAGAUGUGGCUAUAGAGAUCAGAUCACAGAUUAGUGGGGAGGAGAGAUUGGAUAGGCACUCAACAUGGUCUAGCACAAGCAUAGUAAGAAUUAUGUAUUUACCUGAAAUUUCAAUUUGUGUGAAACACUACCUUCUCCUCUAAAGCCUUUACGUACAAGGUGAGUCCCUAGGGAAUCUAUUUUGCCUCCAGUCUUCUAGCACUCUCUGUAGCAGAGCUAAUUCAGAAAAUCUGCUAAGUGAGUCAAAUUAAAGUUUUUCCUAAAAUUCUGUUGUCAUUUAAUGGAACCCUUUCUGUAGAAUAAACUAUGUACACCAUAUAUGGAACAAAGUAGUUUAGAAAAGUACCACUCCUUGAAUAACUGUUACUUUGAAAGGUUUAUGUUAUCUUUCUGUCCUUCUCUUCAAAGGAGUUUUGUACCUUAAUUUCUAUUGUAAAUAGUGUCAUCUUUAUUGCCAGAUUAUAAAAAUGAAGUAUAACUUAGGGGAUAAGUUACAAAGCAAAAAAGAAGUAAUUAUUUUUAAAGUUUUAAACUCUCAUAUAGAACAUACUAAUAUAUAACUACUUAACAUUUGACUAAAAUAUUUAAGCAGUUGACUAUAUAUUUCAUUUCUUUCAGGUUUUAGAUUUCUGAGUGUUAGCCAAAUAUUUUAGUAUCUGGGUCACAGUCAUUACAAAAAAAUCUAGGCCAAAAUGGUUUAUGUUUCUCAUUUGCCAGUUUAGUUCUAUCUUUGACCAUUCUCUGACUUUUCAGUAUUUGAUGUUCCUUCAGCUAAACUUUAUUUAUAUAUAUUUGCACAUUAUUGUGUUAAUUCUUUGUGUGUAGUUGAGUCUUCGUGUGUCUUUUGUUUUUCCUCCUAAAUCAGGGUAACAAAGCAAAUAAAUGACUAUGCUCUUGGCUGCUAUGUUUUAGAAUUGUCACUGUACAAAGGGUCACACAUGUUAAAUUACCUACUGCAGUGCUAAUUAUUGUGCGAAGCCUUGUUUAAAAUGCCAGAGAGACUGUGCUUUUGGCACUUGUGCUGUGACAUUUUUUAAAGAUCCAAGCUGUGUGCAACUUGGUAUUGAGAGCUUGAAAACUCCUACAGACUUCACAUAAAUUUAAAAUGUAAAGCUGUUUUCUCCCUUCAUACUAUGUGUUACAGCAUUUUUCUCUAAGUAAAAUGAGAUGUCUUAAUGAGAUAAAGGGAAAUGAGAGAGCGGUAAAGUGGAAUAACAAAAAUUUUCCCUCCUUCAUGGGGUGCUGAGGGCUCCAGGAGUCCAUUUUGAAUCACACUUUUACUUUUGAAAGGGGGACCAUUUACUGUCAGCUAGUGUUAAUGAAUACUCCAUAGUUUUCUCUGUCUUAAACUUUAAAAGUUUCUGGCUUUAGAAUUUUAAUAUUUCCCUCUAAAUUUGUCAUUCUUAUUUUUGCAUAUGGUAUCCUGUUGGGAAAUUAUAAAAUGAUAGCAUAGACACUUCCUGAAAAUUUCUAGAUAAAUUAAGAUCUUAUUUAUGAAGCAUUAUUGUAAAUUCAGUUGUAAUUUUUUUCAGAUCUUCAAUGCGUAUCUUCUCUGAUUGCUAGAACAUUUCAUCGUAACCAUUCUUAUUGUAAUAUAUUUUAGAAUAUCUUAUGCAUGUUAAUGACUCAGGAUUGUUGUUAAAUCUCUUAUUAAUAUAAUGUCUUCAAGAGCUACUGGGCUGUGUCUUAAUGCUAAUUUUCUUUUGAAAAAAAUAGUUCUUAGUAGGUGGCACUGCUUUGCGCUUUUAGGUGGUAUCUCUGUGUUCCUAAACUUGAUAUUAAUUUGUGAAACUACUAGCAUGCAGAGAAGGGUAUCUGUGAAUAAAGUAAGAGAAAGAGGGUUCUUCACUGGCUUGAAGGGCACUUCAAUGAGUAAAGUAAUUGGGCUUUACGAUGUUUGCUUUAUUUUACUUAGUACUUCCCCUGUGCCCCAUGCCCCUGCCCCCUUUUGACUUAGUCUCUUUAACAUGGUAUUUGGCAUUGUUCCAGAUAGUAUUGUAAGAAGGAUGAGUUUAGACUACGGAGCUAGAAAAAAAGGAUGGGAAUUAGAGUUGGAUCAGUUGGAAGCUCUGGGACUUUUAAGUGAAUUUAUAGCUGUAAAAUGGGUAUGUUGUUCUUAUAUUUCAGGCUGUGGAUGAGGAUUUAAAAAUAAUGGAUCUUAAAUCUGAUAUAGGAGGUAUUUUACAGGUGCUAGUUCUCUUUCCUUUUGCUUUAAGAUAAGUGAUCUACUUACUUUGGAAAUAGCAACUGCCUAUAUUAGUAGGAUGCUAUGAGGAUUAGUGAGUCAGUAUCCCUAAAAUAUGGUUGCUUUUAAGGUCUCUCUAAUGUAUUCAGAAAUAAAUAUUAUGUGAUUAAUAUAGUGCUGAUUAAUUUGGUUGAUCUUGUGAAUAAGAUGUGCUGGAAUAUUUCUGAGGACAAAUAUAAAUUCAGAUGCAAAAAAUUUUGAAUGUGGAAAGCAUUUGUUUUGUUUAAAUAAAAUUAUGUUGAAAUGUUUCAGUAUCUCCAAAGGGAUCACAGGCAACUAUGUGCUGUUUUUUCAUUGCAAAGUUGUCUCUUGCUAUGUACUGUAUCUACAGGGGAUUUUGGUCCAGGACUCCCACUCCCCAUCCUACAGAUAAAACACGAUGAUGCCCAAGUCCCUUAUAUAAAAUGAAGUAGAAUUUACAUAGAACCUACAAAACCUUCUCUGUACUUUAAAUCAUCUCUAGAUUACUCAUAAUAUAUAAUUUACAACCUGAAUGCCACGUGAAUAGUUGUUACCUUGCAUUGUGUAUGAAAUAAUGACAAGAAAAGAAAGAUGUGUAUGUGUUCAGUACAGAUGCAACCAUCCUAGAACUAAUGACAUAUCACAUACCAGCAACAUGUUCUUUUCCCCAAAUAUUUGGAACCCAGGGAUACAGAAGGCUAUCCAUAUAUACUUACCAAAGUCCCACAGAGUUUUCAAGCCAUUUUGCAUCUACUAGUGCCAUGGCAGCAGUGGUGAUGCACCUGCUACAGUGAGUGUCACUAUAUAUGUGCUAUAGUAAAUUGCGUAUCUAUUAAAUUUUAAUAAUAGUCGAUACUUUUAUUUAACCUGUACACAGAUCAUAUUAUAGGGUAUAAUCCAUUUAAUUGGUAUACUAGACACAUAACUAGUACUUCAGCAUUUUGAUAGUACCAGAGGAAGAAAAUGAAACCAGCAUGGCCUCUGUCUUUCAGAGUAAUGUGUUCAUGUCGCGGUAACCACAGGAACAUUUUGUUGAGACGAUCACACAUGUAACAUAAGGGAAUUCUGCUGAAGCGGCCUAUCAGGUUUUUAUGAAAAGUAAUACGCUGAUGCCUUCUGAUGUAUUAUAAAGAAAAAGCAGUUGGGAGCUGUUUGGCUCUAGCAAAUGAGAGCUAAUUAACCCUAGGCCACGUGUGACUUACCCACUCCCAAGCCUGUGCGGAAGCCACUCUCCACCUUGGCCGCCACGGCUUAGUUCUUCACUGUGACUCUUUGCUCUCUGGGGCCACCCCUAAGUGCACUCCUACAGCUUCUGCUGUCUGCCAUCUCUCAUCCUACCAACACAGGAUAGGAAGUUGCCAGAAGAAAUAAGCCUGAGACUUAAAUCAUCUUUAAUGAAUUUUUUUUCCUCAGAGCCAUUGGGUGAACCAGUCCUUUGCAUUAUUGUCUCUAUCCGUUUUCAAGGCCAGGGUUAGACUGUCAUAACAUGACCCAUUAUGCAUACCAUUGCCCAGUCUCCCUGAAGCACGAAUCCGAUAUCUGUUCCGGCUGGCGGUGCUCAGUGUGUGUGCUGUGCUGAAACAGCUGUGGAGCUUCUGCCCACGCUGUUUUCUUUCUGCCUAUAAAGAUCUUAGUUAUCAUGAGAUCUGGCAAAGAUCUCUUCUCUUCUGGGAAGCCUUUCCUAUGGAUUCCAACUGAAAUCUUUCCUCUGUGCCUCUACUCAUGCUGAUCAAUGAACAAGACUUUUGUGAUGCUCAGAAGAAGGUGGCAUUUCUGUCCCCGGCACUAUUCCAUGUUCCAUGCCCCUAGCCCCUUUUACUGCGAGGGCAGCACCACCCAUAGUGGGUGCUCAAAUACAUGAUUACUGCUUUACUCCUGUGAGAUUUGCAGAGUUUUCAGUUUAAAUUCUCAACUGGCAAUUGGCCGAAAACUGCCAUUUGAAGAUGAGAACACACCAGUGUCAUUGUGUGAGUUGGCCACUGUCCACUUGACAUAGGAGGGCACUAUCAAGAAGGACUAACGGAGUGACUGUCCCAAGGACGUAAUGGAAAAUCUUAAAAUUCCAACAUGAGAAGAUUAUAAAGAGGUCCCUCCUGUGCCAGGAAAGAUCUGCAGAUCUUUUUCAGUGUUCUUGGAGGUGUGGGGUGUGAGCACUUGAUCAGUGUGUGUCAGCCACCUUGUUCUCUCAAGUGAGCAUGCAGAAUCCGGUAUGUGAGUUCUACUCAGCACAGAGUGUAUUGGACCAGCUGGAGUUCCAGUGCUGUGGCCACCUGUGGCCAACAGCUGCCAUGUUUGAAAGCACAGAUCUGGACAAAGAACGGAGCUUUCAUUUUAGCUUCUCUCACGCCAGAGCCUGUUGGGUAACUCAGUGGGCUCCACUGGUUUAGAGUUUCCAGAUUUAAAUCACAGAAAGCAAAACAAAACAAAACAAAAUAGGAAGCCAACUCUAAUUUGAAUUUCAGGUAAAUAGCAAAUAAUUAUUUAGUGUAAUUGUGUUCCAGGCCGUAUUUGGGACUCCAAAAAAGUUGUUAUUUAUCUAGCUUCAAGUUUAACCAGGUGUCUCGUAUUUUAUCUGACAACCCUGCUGGGGUCUAACUCGAGUGGAAGGCGUCAGUCACUGGGCUGCCCAGAAGCUAGUUGUAGGACUAGAUUUAGCAAAUGUCUUCCUCUGAGGAGAAUCUUGAUAGCCCUCUGAAAAUCAGUGUGCAAGCCAGAGACGACUGAUAGCCCAUUUCUUCAUAACUGUCUAGGAUGUCUAAGACACAAGAAAGGGUUUAUGUUAUAAAACUUGAUCCUUACAUAUUUAAACAUUUUAGAUCUGGAUUAUUAUAUUAAAAUAGAAGGUUUAUGUAAUUUUAUAAAUUAAGUGGUUUGUUAAGCUUAAAAAGUAUAAUUUGGCUAACAGUGCAUCACUAGAACUGCAUUUUCUUAAAAAUAAAAAUGUACCCUUAGUCUUGAGCUCUGUAGUGUUCAGAGUCCUCAGUAGUUCAGCGUAGUUUCCUGCCACUGGUUACACUGCAGCUGUCACAUAGCUCUCAGGUUGGCAAGACUUAACACAAAGUGCCAGCUUGAUGAACACCAGGAGAAGACUUGCUUGACAAGUAUAUAAGUACUUGUAAUUCUUGGCUCUGAUAUUAGCAGCUAUAUCCUGACCCAAUCCAAAGUCAUUUCUUCUACCAGCAUCUUGCGUUUCUCCUAAGAUUUCUUUCACAAAGGAACAUCUUUCCAUUUUUAUUAUGGAAUUUUUAGUAUGUUUAUUUUAAGCAAACACUUUUUUUGAAGCAUGUAACGACUGCUUUAGUAGUGUGGAUCUAGGCUUUUUCAGCUCUGUCGAAAGGGCUGUUCAUGUCCUCUAGGGACAGUACCUAUAGCAGCCCCACACUCACCCUCAGGGGGAGCUCUUGCCUCAUGAGGAUGAAUGACUGUAGGUGAGCCCUUUGGUACUGCCUGUACCGUGUGCACCAUUCCCAGCCGGACAGGUGGGUGCUGCCAGUACUGGGCAUCCGGUUAGCAGUUCAGAGCUGAAGCAAUGGCGCAUUCCAAAUCCAUGCACACUUAGGAGAAUGUGCCCAAGAGUGUGGGUAUGUUGAUAAUUAUUGCAUUUCCUUCAGAGAACAAGUGUUACAGGUAAGGCUGUGCGUGUGUGUGUGUAUGUGUGUGUGUGUUCCAAUAAUUACCUUUAAAUAAAAAAAUUUAGGAUCUAAAAGUGUUGCCCUUUCCCCAGAACAGUCACUGCAAAUAUCUCAAACAUAGCCUUCGUUAUUUAACACAAGUAUUUUCUUUCCUCACUCUAAGAAGGGAUGGAUGCUGUGCGUGUGAGGUUGAAGGGGGAGAAAGCUUAUUGUCAUUUGAGAGCUGUGAAUGUCACACUUUUCCAUGUCUAGAAAUAUCUUAGAACCUUGUUUAGCCUAACUUCUGAUGUCUAAAGUAUAAAUUAUUUUGUCAAGUUAACACCUCCAUCUAUAUAUAAGUAAAAGUGUUCAGCCUUUCUUAGCUAAUGUCUUGAACAGCACUGGGUUGUGUUUGGGUUUUCACUUUUAUUCUAAGACUGACUUCCUUUUGUAUAAAGGCUUUCACCUCAUUGCUGAAACCACAAUUUAAAGCUACAAAGGAUCUUAAAUAUAGUCUCCCAGGGACCCUUGGAUGAGCCUGAGAGUCUAGGAACCCCUGAAAUUAUAGUCAUAUUUUGUAUAUGUGAGGGGACUUCAAAAGUUCAUGGGAAAUGGAAUUAGAGAAGGUAAUUUGUAUUUUCCCAUAGAUUGAUUUCCAAGAUUCCUCAAUCUGUUUUUGCUGGGGGAAUGUCCCCAGUUUUCAUCACACUCUCAAAGCGUUGGUAGCAAACAACCAUUGACCUCAUAUAUAAUGUGGUCAUUUUACUAGUACUGGGAUUCAUAGACUUUGAAACUUUGCCACACUGCUGCUGGGUUCUUAUUAUGUGAAGGAAAUAACUUAUUCAGUUGGUCAUGAAAUAUGUAGGUAGAGAGAACGGUGAGAACACUCUCCUUGCCCUCACAGAACCUAGUGUUUGCUCAAGCUGGAGUGUUGCAAAGGGAAGACGGAGUAAUCGCUGCCUUGAGCCCUUGAGCCGGAGCCCGAGAGCAGCACCGGGGGCUGUUUCAGAUUGCAUAAGUGCAGCUUUUACGGAACCUGAGGCAUCCGCAGGAGUUGGUAAGACAAAGAGGGAAGGCAGAAUGCACUGGACACAGCAGUUGUGAGAGCCCUGAGGGAGAAAGAGAGCGAGGCACCAUCAGGACAGAAGAUUGAGGGAGACAUGACAAAGUGACCCUGCACAGGAAGCGUCUCACAAGCUGUCGAUGUUUGUUCUUUGGGCUUUACUUUAAAAGCAGUAAGAGACAUUGACACGAGAUUUAUAUUAUUUUCUGAAGCUUCCGAAUAAAGCCUGUUACUUGUGUAGAACCGUGAGGAUAUUGUUAAAUACACAGUUCUGUAAAUUUUCACAAAGUGCCGACACCUAUAUGACUGGCACCCAGAUGAACAAACAGAACAUUACCAGGAUCCCAAAAGUUGCCCCAAACCUUUCCUUCCAGUCAUAUCUGCCACCAACCCACCAAGAAGACCUCUUGCAUGCCUUCCUGCUGAAUAGGUGACACUGAUGUGUUGUACCCGGCUGUCUUCCUGCUGUAUAGGUGACACUGCUGUGUUGUACCCGGCUGCCUUACAGCAGUAUAGGUGACACUGCUGCGUUGUACUUGGCUGUCUUCCUGUUGUAGAGGUGACACUGCUGUGUUGUACCCGGCUGCCUUCCUGCUUGUAUAGGUGACACUGCUGUGUUGUACCCGGCUGUCUUCCUGCUGUAUAGGUGACACUGCUGUGUUGUACCUGGCUGCCUUCCUGCUGUAUAGGUGACACUGCUGUGUUGUACCCGGCUGCCUUACAGCAGUAUAGGUGACACUGCUGUGUUGUACCUGGCUGUCUUCCUGCUGUAUAGGUGACACUGCUGUGUUAUACCUGGCUGUCUUCCUGUUGUAUAGGUGACACUGCUGUGUUGUACCCGGCUGCCUUACAGCAGUAUAGGUGACACUGCUGUGUUGUACCU